CUCAUAGCCUCCGUCAGCACUCCGCGCCGCAAGGGGUCCCGCGCGAAGGCUGCCAGCACGCGGUCCCGAGCUGGGGCCGAGGCGGCGGACCGGCCGGCGGCGCCCGACCGACAGCCAGCUAUGAGCGCAGCAGCAGCUGAGCAGCCGGCUGCAGCUGCCGCAGCAGCCCAGCAGCCGCCUGCCACUCCCUCGCGUGGGGGCCGAAAGACGAAGGCGAAGUCUGCAGGCACACCAGGAGCAGGCGCCGCCGAGGCGGGGGCGACGCCCAGCAGCCGUGCAAGGAAACGGGUCAAGACCUCCACCCCAACGACGGAAGCCGUUGUGGCGCCGGCAGAGCGGACGCCUGGCGGGCGCGGACGGAAGCGGGCGGCUUACUCCUCCUCGUCGGAUGGCUCGGCAGCGGCACCGGCAGCGGCG